AUCUCUACUAAAAAUAAAUAAAUAAAUAAAUAAAUAAGCAAGCUGAAAAGAAGGGGUGGAGGCUUUGCUAGAGACUUGACCAGGUGAUUUAUAAAAGAUCUCUAAGGAGCCAAUACACUUAUGUAAAUAUACUUAACCUUAUUAGUAUAGUGGAUUACAAGGGGUUUCAGGGGGUCCAUGCACAGUCUUGUAAGAUGGGCAGAGACAGCGGCCCGGAGCCAGGCACAGCAACAGGUCCCGAGUGCAGGGCGAAUGCCUGCCAGAGGGGUUUGUCUGUUUCUUUUUCAUUCUUUUGCUGAAUUUAUCUUUUGUGAACAAAUCACAUGGUAAUGCAAAUGAAAUCAGAGAAAUGCCAACGAAAACCAGAAUGAGAUAAUAAACAUUAUAUACCCAUUAGCAAUAUUGAAAUUGGAAAUAUGGCAGGCCACGAGUUGGGUGUGGAGCAACUGGAAUUCUGAUACACACAGGUGGGAGUGUGAAUUGCUAUGAACAUGUCAGGAGACUGUGUGGCCUUAUCCCCUAAAGGUGGAGAUACCAUAACCCUACGAUCCAGCAGUUCUAUCCCUAGGUAUGUACCCAGCAGACACACACAACUGUAUCCCAAGAGACAUGCUCCAUGCUGCCCAUAACAGCAUUUUUCAUAACAGCCAAAUCUGCCAACAGCCCCAAUAUCCUUCAACAGUAGAAUAAAUUUGUAUAUUCAUAAAAUGGAAAUAUACCAUGAUAAUGAAUCAACUAGAGCAGGAAGUCAACACAUGCUACAGCCUGGGGCCUGCUUUUGCAUAGCUUUCAAACUAAGGAUAGUUAAAGGAUUAUAAAAGUAAAAAAAAAAAAAGAAAAAGAAAAGAAAAGAAAGAAAGCAAACUGUGCAGCAGAGAUGACAGGUGGCUCGCAAAGCCUCAAACAUUUGCCAUGUGGCCCUCUACCAAAAAGGUCUGCCAACCCCUGCUACAGACCAGGCGCACUAUGAAUGACAUCACAGUGUUGACUGCAUCCUAAACAGACACAUCCCAUUUAUAUAAAGUUUAAAAAUAACAGGCAAAACUAGGCUGAGUGUUUGGGGGUGCAAAUGAACCAGCCCUGAUGUGUGCAAAUGUUUGUCCAGGCACAGGUAUCUCACACUCGGUCAAUCAUCAGACUCGCCUGAGGUUUCAAAUCACCCUUGAGCACAGGUUCAUCCCCAUCCGAUGACAUCCAAAUCCCUGGCGGUGACUCCCAGUCAGCAGCAUGUCCUCAGAGCAUCCCAGGAACUUCCAACAAGCAAUCAGAGCCCCUGAAAUAUGGUGGAGACAGCAAAUUGGUGGGACUGAGGAGCAAGAAGACAAUUACAACAACAAUAUUAAUUUUUUCUUAAAGAUAACCAGAAAUUGGUCGGGUGCAGUGGUUCAUGCCUGUAAUCCCAGCACUUUGGGAGGCCGAUGUGGGCAGAUCACCUGAGGUCAGGAGUUCAAGACCAGCCUGGCCAACCUGUCUCUACUAAAAAUACAAAAAUUAGCCAUGUGUGGUGAUGGACGCCUGUAAUCCCAGCUACUUGGGAGGCUGAGGCAGGAGAAUCACUUGAACCCGGGAGGCAGAGGUUGCAAUAAGCCCAGAUCACGCCACUGCACUGCAGCCUGGGCAACAGAGCAAGACUCCGUCUCAAAAAAAAAGAGAACCAGAAAUUAUUCAACAUCCGAGCAGCUGCUGUGCUUCUUCUCCCAGCCAUGGUGAAGCUCAGAAAUGAUGGCGUCUCCUUCUAGUGGCUGCUAGUGGAUUACAAGGGGUUUCAGGGGGUCCAUGCACAGUCUUGUAAGAUGGGCAGAGACAGCGGCCCGGAGCCAGGCACAGCAACAGGUCCCGAGUGCAGGGCGAAUGCCUGCCAGUGGGGUUUGUCUGUUUCUUUUUCAUUCUUUUGCUGAAUUUAUCUUUUGUGAACAAAUCACAUAGUAAAUGCUGAUAGUUUAAAAUAUAUAUGUGUGCGUGUGUGGUUAAUAAAUUUUCAAAAGUUAAAUUGUCAAAUAGUAUUGUCUUUAUUAAGUACAACUAGUUUGUUCAUAUAAAAAGUAAUCGUAACGUUUUCC
rnacentral:lncRNA from 10 species